AAGUCGUAACAAGGUUGCUGUAGGUGAACAUGCAGCAGGAUCAUUACGUGUAGGGGCUUCGGCCCUGAAGAUACCACCCUUUGCCUUUUGUACCUAUGUUUCCUCGGCGGCUCCGGCCGCCAGUGGGGACCUUUACACUCUUUUUAAGCAGUCUAGUCUGAUACCAAUACAAUAAUCAAAACUUUCAACAACGGAUCUCUUGGUUCUGGCAUCGAUGAAGAACGCAGCGAAAUGCGAUAAGUAGUGUGAAUUGCAGAAUUCAGUGAAUCAUCGAAUCUUUGAACGCACAUUGCGCCCCUCGGUAUUCCGUGGGGCAUGCUUAUUUGAGCGUCAUUUAACCCCUCAAGCCUCGCUUGGUGUUGGGCGUCUGUCUUGCCAUUGUGCAUCGACUCGCCUUGAAACGAUUGGCAGCCGGUAUACAGGCUUCGAGCGCAGCAGAUUUGCGUCUUGGGCCUGUGCACUAGUGUUCCAGCAAGCCUCAUCUAUCUUCUUGACCUCAGAUUAAGUAGGGAUACCCGCUGAACUUA
rnacentral:rRNA from 1 species